rnacentral:lncRNA from 1 species
CAUGACCGUGCCUCUGAGAAACCAGCGCGUCCGCAACGAUCACUCCUAAUUUUCGGAUUCCUAUCAUCUGUCUCCACGUGAUAACACUGAAGAGCCUUCACAUUGAUGCAGGCCCAGGGCCUCAAGUGCAGAGUCUGAGAGCUCUGCAGGACACAGCAUGGAGCCGCCAUUCCUCUACUGGGUGGAGGAGCAUGUGUCCUCUGAACAGGGGAUCCAAGCCCUGAGAUGUUCUUUCUCAGCUGUCAGUGCGGCCCAGGACUUUCUGUGGGGAUGCUCAGACAGCAGGGGCCGGAGGACUUUUAGCCACCACCUCCCAUGGCCAGUCUUCACAAAUUACCUUUGGCUAAUUUGACUGUCUCUCCUCCUGGGGUCUAGGACUUCAAACAUGUACAGAAGCGAUUGCAGAAUUAAGACAAGACACUUCCACAAUAUAUUUUUUGUAUCACUGGCUCAGAAAAAGACUCAUUCAAAUCCUGUAUCAAAGCCACAUGUGAGAAUCUUGAGAAAGCAUCAGCUGACUGACUUGACAAGGGAGGAAGCAACCAAAAAUUCUGCGCUUCUUCAGUAUCUGAGUAUGAUAUUUUGCUUCAACAUCCCUCUUAGAUGAAGUUAUUGAUUGAAAAUCAUUUAAGUUUGCCCCAUGGUAAAAGAUCAAGUCCUCAGAAAGAUCUCCAAA